CCCAUAGCUCAGCUGGUUAGAGCAGCGGACUCAUAAUCCGUUGGUCCCAGGUUCGAGUCCUGGUGGGC
rnacentral:tRNA from 1 species